rnacentral:lncRNA from 1 species
GUGAGUCCAAGUACACAGCGCGGGCGUUUAGGGGAUGGAGGGAGUGGCGCAGGGGAAGCUGGCACCUAAGGCUAUGUAAUAGGACCCAGGUCUUGUAAACCCUCCUCCCCAGGCACCGCCUCUCAGCUCCCAGCGCCUCUUUCCAGCCUUAAUUAUCCUUUCAGCGCCGUUUCCCCUCGGCCGCGUUUCCUUGGCCUGGGGAAAAAGCCUCUCUCGCCUCCCCGUUCUCGCCCUCACACAGACCCUCCUUUCAGACCCGCCCUCCUGUUCACAGGGACCCAUUUCGGAGCCCUAGCUCACGCUGGGCGGGAACCAGCGUGACGAAUUCCGCCCAAGGUGUUGAUUAUCCACCCCAACCCAGCCUCUGGCUCGCCUCCCACCUUCACUCGAUUCUCACGAGCCCCCCGCCCCCAGCCCCAGGCUAGGCCCUCGGGACGGCGUCCCCAGACCCCCACCCGGCCGUGCCCCACGAUGCAGCUGCGGAAAGAAGCGCCAGCGUGCUCGGUGCCACGUCGGAAUUGGCUCUCGGGACGUUGCAGCUGCCGGGAGGCAGCGCGCGGUCCCCACGCACGGCCGGCCCCCGGGCGGCGCGGGCGGGCCGGGUGCGGAGAGGAGGGAUGCGCGCCCGCCUCCCGCUCGGGUCUGCGUGUGCCACUGCCAGCGUUAGGGACCCCUGGCCCGAUCCCCCCUCCCCGGAUACCGGAAAGUCUCUUCUCUUUUUCGUAUCAAAAAAAGCCCGGUGAAGACUCUGCAGAACCCAGGAAGCGCAGAAUCGGGAGAAAGUCUUUGGCUGGGGCUGGUUCAAGACCCUGCUUCAAUGGGCUGCUGGAAGCCAGGACUGGGUAAUUCUUUCCAGACGUCUUGACUUCUCCUUGCUCGCUGUUGUUGCCUUUCUGCCUCCUCCAACUUAAGGGGGUCUUAACAAGGUUCCUCUGAGGGUGGACUUCUUUCGCGCUCGAUAGGCCUUGAAAACUGAGUUCCUGCUCCUUAUUACAUAUCUGGGACAAUAAUGAACAGGUCAAAACAGAAAAGUCGAGUAAACUGGGAGCGAUGCUUUUCAACACGUCGCGCAGGGUGUAGUGUUGGGGGAUGUGAUUUGAGGGCAAGAAUUUUAUUGCAAUACUAGGUAGUCAGCCAGCCCGGUCCCCGGGGGCCGACCUGCAAAGUACUACGCGUUUCCGCCCCCCGACCCCCCCACAGCGGUUACACCUCUGGGAAGCAUUACCUUGCCUGAUGACUUCACACUGCUCCGGGGAAACCCACUUACUAAUUCUCCCCUACAAACCUUCAGGGCUUCAGCCUUUGUUUGAACCCGGCCUUAGGUGGUUCAACUCUUGAGAAACUGGCUUAAGUUUCAGAGCACAAUUUCAUCCACUUAAUCAGACUCCUGCUUCUUGAUUUUUAGUUGUACGGUAGUUUUUAAAUGCUAAGCUGUAAUUUAAAAUAUAUUGUCUAACUGAUGUACUCUUACAUAUAAUGUGGAUUAAACUGAUUUAGGGGGAGGGUGGACAUCAUGGAGUGUCAAGUGUCUGGCUGUGGGACCCCACAGGGGCACUUAACCUCCACUCUAAACUUCCAUGAAUAUUAUAUGUAAUGCAGGCUUGCUGAUUAUUGCUUAGUAGUGCUUAACUGUUCCUGUGCUAAUGGUUCAAGCAAUGAAAACAUUUAGUAAAACUGUGUUUCUUUAUUAAUCAAAAACACAUUUGUUGUUUGUUCCCUUGAACUUGUAAUUCAUGGCCCAUAAAGCAAAAGUAAAAUAUUUCCUCACUGCGGAUGAAUAUAAAAGCUAAUUACAUAUCCGUGCAUUUCUGUCAGUUUCUCCCCCAUCCCCCAAGAGAAUGGGAAAGAGGCUAGAGGUGAAAGUUUACAUUUAAAUUCAGGGGUGAAGAUUCCUUAAAAGCAGAAUACUGUAUCAAUCAGAUUUUCUUAGGCAGGGCAUCCAGAAUAAGAGAUUGAGUAAAUUCAAAUCCCACCUUUGAUGUGGGAUUGUUUGUGUGUUCCUGGAAGUAUAUUUUACCUCUCUAGACCUUUAUUUCCUAGUUGAUAAAUGGAGAAAAUACCUGCUUUACAAAGUUGUUAUGAUGAUAGAACGUGUGAAACUAUGUUAGGAGAUUAGUAGAGUGCCUAAGCUCUACUCUUAGGUAGAGCUUCCUAAUGUAACUUAGCGUUUCCUAAUUUAACCAUUGUCGCUAUUCAAAAACAUUAGUACCCUUCUUCUGGUUUUCUAUUUUUUAUAUUAUUCUUGAUAGGCAUUAACUGGAGUUUCAUCCUGGGCUCAUUUGUUUGACCUACUUCAGCUUCCUACUGUCCCCUCACUGUCUCUCAUAGAUUGAAUUAUUCCAUGUGCCCAUGAAUACACCCCAAACCUUCAGGUUUAACCAAAAUUCCUUUCUGGAUUCCAGGCCUGAAUUACGGCUACUAGCCAUCUAGUAUUGAUUAAUAAGCAUCAUAUUUGGAGACGGGAGAUUCAGUUUCACCAACAAGCUAUAGCUUGUUUCAACCAAUUGAAUAACAUACGAUUGUCAAUUUCAAUUUUACCUUUCUAUUUUAAACAUAAGCUGUUUGGAUCAGAAGAUGACAGAUGUUUCAGGUUUUGACAUCCUAAGACAUACUUCUCCAACCUACGCUUGUUAUGGUUUCAACUAUCCAAGACAACAUAGCGAAGAACUUCAGAGGUAGGAGUUUGACCUGAGUCAACGUGAGUCUGCAGCAUGCUCUUGCUAACCUCCUUCCCACAACACAGAACAAGUGUUCACCUGUCUGAGAGACCGAGUUUCCAGAAGAAGGAUUCAGUACCUUCAUACUUCUCUGUGUAAAUGGUUCUCAAACUUUUUGGUGUGAAGUCCCUCUAUACGCUCUUAAAAAUUGUUGAGGACUUCAAAAAACGUGUUUAUAUGGGUUAUAUCUAUCAAUAGACCAUAUUAGAAAUAAAAACUGACCAAAAAUGUUUUAAAAUAUUUAUUAAUUAAUUUAAAAUAAUAAUAAACGCAAGGACUUGUCACCAUUUUUGUGAAAUGUGGCAUUGUUUUCCAUUUUUGCAAAUCUCCACUAUCUGGCUUAAUAGAAGACAGCUGGAUUCUCAUAGCCGCUUCAUCAUUCUAUUGUUUUGAUUGAAGUAUAUAAAGAAAAUCUGGCUUCAAACAGAUACAUAAUUGGGAAAUAGAGAAGUAUUUUAAUAGUCUUUUUAGAUAGUC